rnacentral:rRNA from 1 species
CCCUUGACUCUGGGAUAAGCCUGGGAAACCGGGUCUAAUACCGGAUAUGUACCCUUCACCGCAUGGUGGGGGGUGGAAAGCCUUGUGCGGUUUUGGAUGGACUCGCGGCCUAUCAGCUUGUUGGUGGGGUAAUGGCCCACCAAGGCGACGACGGGUAGCCGGCCUGAGAGGGUGACCGGCCACACUGGGACUGAGACACGGCCCAGACUCCUACGGGAGGCAGCAGUGGGGAAUAUUGCACAAUGGGCGCAAGCCUGAUGCAGCGACGCCGCGUGAGGGAUGACGGCCUUCGGGUUGUAAACCUCUUUCAGUAGGGAAGAAGCGAAAGUGACGGUACCUGCAGAAGAAGCGCCGGCUAACUACGUGCCAGCAGCCGCGGUAAUACGUAGGGCGCAAGCGUUAUCCGGAAUUAUUGGGCGUAAAGAGCUCGUAGGCGGUUUGUCGCGUCUGCCGUGAAAGUCCGGGGCUCAACCCCGGAUCUGCGGUGGGUACGGGCAGACUAGAGUGAUGUAGGGGAGACUGGAAUUCCUGGUGUAGCGGUGAAAUGCGCAGAUAUCAGGAGGAACACCGAUGGCGAAGG